UACGGAGGGGGCUAGCGUUGUUCGGAAUUACUGGGCGUAAAGCGCACGUAGGCGGCUUUGUAAGUUAGAGGUGAAAGCCCAGGGCUUAACCCUGGAAUUGCCUUUAAGACUGCAUCGCUAGAAUCGUGGAGAGGUGAGUGGAAUUCCGAGUGUAGAGGUGAAAUUCGUAGAUAUUCGGAAGAACACCAGUGGCGAAGGCGACUCACUGGACACGUAUUGACGCUGAGGUGCGGAAGCGUGGGGAGCAAACAGG
rnacentral:rRNA from 1 species